UAAUAUAUGAUUUAAUAUUUUUGGUUAUGUGAAAUAUAACAUUUUUUUGAUGUUUUGCAGAUAAUGUUAGUCAAGAACAACAAGUAGAUUUGCAUUCUCAAAGAAGUCACAUAAGUUGUAUUACUCAAAGAACUCCUUUAUGCGACAUAUCUAAUGUAUCCUCAAGAUCUCUAAAUCAAUUUGUAUCAAAACAAAUUGAACAACGAUGUGCAAGGCAAAAAAGAAAACUAAUAUUAUCGCAAAGACGUGAAAAAGUUUCAGCCAAUUUAGCGACGCAGCAAUCCGUAUUUAAUUCCAAUGUUUUUUGUCGUUCAUUGAACGGUAUAGAUGUGUACUAUGGAGGCUAUUAUUAUACAAAAUAUUAUCGUAUGUUAAAUAUAAACUUAUUUUAUCUUUUCGUAUUA